UGAUUGUCGAAAAAUAGAUAGUCUGCCUAAGAUACAAGUAUCUGUCGUCAGAUUCCUAAUUUUCUGUUCAAUUA
rnacentral:ncRNA from 1 species